rnacentral:rRNA from 1 species
AACGAACGCUGGCGGCAGGCCUAACACAUGCAAGUCGAACGCGUGUAGCAAUACACGAGUGGCGCACGGGUGAGUAACACGUGGGAAUCAACCCAGAGGUUCGGAAUAACCGCGGGAAACUGCGGCUGAUACCGGAUAUCCCCUACGGGGGAAAGAUUUAUCGCCUUUGGACGAGCCCGCGUCCGAUUAGCUAGUUGGUGAGGUAAUGGCUCACCAAGGCGACGAUCGGUAGCUGGUCUGAGAGGAUGAUCAGCCACACUGGAACUGAGAUACGGUCCAGACUCCUACGGGAGGCAGUAGUGGGGAAUAUUGGGCAAUGGAGGCAACUCUGACCCAGCCAUGCCGCGUGGGUGACGAAGGUCUUCGGAUUGUAAAGCCCUUUCGGCGGGGACGAUGAUGACGGUACCCGCAGAAGAAGCCCCGGCUAACUUCGUGCCAGCAGCCGCGGUAAUACGAAGGGGGCUAGCGUUGUUCGGAAUUACUGGGCGUAAAGGGCGUGUAGGCGGCCCGUUAAGUCG